CAAGGAACGCUGGUCCCGCCAGCAUCCUCCAACCCGGUGCGUACCAACCUUGUUGCCUUGGCGUGCCAGCGCCGUCGACGGUGCUGCCGGCCCCGGCUGGACAGCGCACGCCAGAGGAACCGUAAACUCCAGCGUUAACAGGUGUCGUCUGAGCUUAAACCUAACGUGUUUA
rnacentral:misc_RNA from 1 species